ACCGAAAUAGUUAAGUUGGAUGAACGUUAGACUAUAGAUCGAAAGGUCGCUGGUUCGAUCCCGGAAUUCAGCA
rnacentral:tRNA from 1 species